UACGUAGGUGGCAAGCGUUGUCCGGAAUUAUUGGGCGUAAAGCGCGCGCAGGCGGUUUCUUAAGUCUGAUGUGAAAGCCCACGGCUCAACCGUGGAGGGUCAUUGGAAACUGGGGAACUUGAGUGCAGAAGAGGAAAGUGGAAUUCCAAGUGUAGCGGUGAAAUGCGUAGAGAUUUGGAGGAACACCAGUGGCGAAGGCGACUUUCUGGUCUGGAACUGACACUGAGGCGCGAAAGCGUGGGGAGCGAACAGG
rnacentral:rRNA from 1 species